ACUGCCGUGACGGCCAUAGCAAAAGCACUCAUGUUGCAGCUCUGUCACAUUUUAAUGAAUCUGCAAAUUCUGCU
rnacentral:ribozyme from 1 species